rnacentral:lncRNA from 1 species
UUUUUUUUCAAUUGGAUCAAUACUUCCAAUUGAAUAAGUAUGAGGAAAAGAUCUAUGGAUAAAGAUAGAAAAAUGUAUUUCUAAUCGUAACUAAAUCUUCAAUUUUUUUUGAUGGGAUAGAUUGAAGCAAAAUAGCUAUUAAACGAUAACUUUGGUUUACUAGAGACAUUUACAUCUUGUUUUAGCUCGGUGGAAAUAAAAUGCUUUUCCUAAGGAUUUUCUCAAAUAGAAAUAGAGAACGAAGC